AUCAUCCAAGGCGUUGGGCACAGACGGAAAAUCGACGUUGAUGCCGAAGAAUCUGGAUCAACCUGGAGUUGAGUACCUUAGAACUGUCAUCUUUGAAAACUUGUCCAGUCGUGGUCCAAUGAUUUGUGCUAGUAUUCUCGUUGACCGCUUGUCGCUGGCUGGAAUGAUGGCGUAUGCGUGGCUAGUGCUCGCCGGAUGGGGUGGUUCUAUGCGCAAGCGUAUCACCUUAGCAGGAACAAAAAGUUUUACAUGCCAGGCUUUCUAUAUGUAAAAGAAAAGGCAUGUUUGGCGCGAACAUGAAACUACUGAACUAGAAAGAAAGGAAGACUUCUCGCCAGUCGUACUGGCGAAGAUUAUGCCCUCCCUCUGGAGUCGGAGCUCCACCAUAGCCUCUUCAAUUUUGUUGCCCCGUACCUACCUCUUCAUUUUAGCCCCUUCCUAUUCCCUUCCCGCCAAAGGUCUACAUGAUCUUAAUCAAAGCCCUCAUCUUCAUUUAACGUUACAAACAUUCCAAUCGCGUUUCUUUAUUUCAUAAAAUAAGACAAGGUAAGUAAAAGUGGUAUUACAAAAAAAAAAUAAAAUAAAAGCGUAUCUGUAAUUAGUUUUCUUAGUCAUUAGUCUUAGAAUUAUUUCAUGUCUUCUUUUGAUUUCCUUCUGUUUUAGGCUUUAGACUACGCCCAAAAGGACGGCAUUUUUAGGGUACUAGCCUGGAAUAAUAAUUGUUAUGGAGAUCUCCUACCUGGCUAGAGAGAGCUCUAUCUAUUAGGGAAGGGUAGAUACCAUAAAAUACUGUCGAUGGUACAAUCAAAACAAUCUGUACGCCCUUCUGUCCAAACGUUUGGGACAGCCGACAUCUGGAGCACUGCGGUCUGCGAGUGCGUUUUGAAGGAUGUCCCACGAUGGUGAAGAGGCGGAAAGCCGUAGGUUUCCUUUGGGUCAUCAUACGCUAGCUAUGCAGUGAUCGCAACAAUACAAAACAACAACACCAACAAUACACGCCAUUGGCUGUACUUUGCUUAUAAAUUUUCUGCUUGCUAGGCUCACUUUUAGUUGUCUUCUCGGCUCACCUUCAGCUUGCUGCACGUUCAAGAUCGAAAAGACAUAUUCUCUUUUCGGGCCAGUUGCCUGCCAUGUCAUUUGUCCCAUCAUUGCGCUCUUCCCCGCCAGAAUUUCCUCUGAUGGGCCAAAUGACAAUGCAAAACCAACUGUCCUACUGCCAUCCCAACAGGGGUUGUGGUUCAUGCCUAAGCAGCUAACUACGUUCGGCAAUUGUCCGCUAGAUAGCGCUUCGAGGGACACUAAGGCACAUGAGAUAAACUCUUAUAGUACCCAAUGCCUGAAAGAUAGGCAUCCCGCUACUAAAGCCUAGGACCCGAGUAAGGAAAAUCAUACAGACCGAUCUCCCUUCUAUCACCAGUAGCCAAGAUGCUUGA
rnacentral:sRNA from 1 species